UGAGGAAUAUUGGUCAAUGGGCGCAAGCCUGAACCAGCCAUGCCGCGUGCAGGAUGAAGCAUCUAUGGUGUGUAAACUGCUUUUGUACGGGAAGAAACAGCGCUUCGUGAAGCGCCUUGACGGUACCUGAAGAAUAAGCGGCCGGCUAACUCUGUGC
rnacentral:rRNA from 1 species